UACGGAGGGUGCAAGCGUUGUCCGGAUUUAUUGGGUUUAAAGGGUGCGUAGGCGCCUAAUAAGUCAGUGGUGAAAGCCUCCAGCUUAACUGGAGAACUGCCAUUGAUACUGUUAGGCUUGAGUAUACUUGAGGUAGGCGGAAUUGACAGUGUAGCGGUGAAAUGCAUAGAUAUUGUCAAGAACACCAAUUGCGAAGGCAGCUUACUAAAUUAUAACUGACGCUGAGGCACGAAAGUGUGGUAGUGAAACAGG
rnacentral:rRNA from 1 species